CAUAAUGGUAAAAAAGUUCAACUCAUUUCCAGAUAGACAGAUGAUGCCAGCUGUGCAAAGAGUGAAUGAGAGUCUGAUAAAACUGCUGAAGAUGAAGGCAGAAUCAGGAGAACCUGUGGAACUCAAGGAAUUGAGUGGCGCUUACUGCAUGGAUGUGAUCGCUGGGGCAGAUUUGCAUACUGUUGACGUCCCU